rnacentral:rRNA from 1 species
CAGGCUUAACACAUGCAAGUCGAGGGGCAGCAUUUUAGUUUGCUUGCAAACUGAAGAUGGCGACCGGCGCACGGGUGAGUAACACGUAUCCAACCUGCCGAUAACUCCGGAAUAGCCUUUCGAAAGAAAGAUUAAUACCGGAUAGCAUACGAAUAUCGCAUGAUAUUUUUAUUAAAGAAUUUCGGUUAUCGAUGGGGAUGCGUUCCAUUAGUUUGUUGGCGGGGUAACGGCCCACCAAGACUACGAUGGAUAGGGGUUCUGAGAGGAAGGUCCCCCACAUUGGAACUGAGACACGGUCCAAACUCCUACGGGAGGCAGCAGUGAGGAAUAUUGGUCAAUGGGCGAGAGCCUGAACCAGCCAAGUAGCGUGAAGGAUGAAGGCUCUAUGGGUCGUAAACUUCUUUUAUAUGGGAAUAAAGUUUUCCACGUGUGGAAUUUUGUAUGUACCAUAUGAAUAAGGAUCGGCUAACUCCGUGCCAGCAGCCGCGGUAAUACGGAGGAUCCGAGCGUUAUCCGGAUUUAUUGGGUUUAAAGGGAGCGUAGGUGGAUUGUUAAGUCAGUUGUGAAAGUUUGCGGCUCAACCGUAAAAUUGCAGUUGAAACUGGCAGUCUUGAGUACAGUAGAGGUGGGCGGAAUUCGUGGUGUAGCGGUGAAAUGCUUAGAUAUCACGAAGAACUCCGAUUGCGAAGGCAGCUCACUAGACUGUCACUGACACUGAUGCUCGAAAGUGUGGGUAUCAAACAGGAUUAGAUACCCUGGUAGUCCACACAGUAAACGAUGAAUACUCGCUGUUUGCGAUAUACAGUAAGCGGCCAAGCGAAAGCAUUAAGUAUUCCACCUGGGGAGUACGCCGGCAACGGUGAAACUCAAAGGAAUUGACGGGGGCCCGCACAAGCGGAGGAACAUGUGGUUUAAUUCGAUGAUACGCGAGGAACCUUACCCGGGCUUAAAUUGCAACAGAAUAUAUUGGAAACAGUAUAGCCGUAAGGCUGUUGUGAAGGUGCUGCAUGGUUGUCGUCAGCUCGUGCCGUGAGGUGUCGGCUUAAGUGCCAUAACGAGCGCAACCCUUAUCUUUAGUUACUAACAGGUCAUGCUGAGGACUCUAGAGAGACUGCCGUCGUAAGAUGUGAGGAAGGUGGGGAUGACGUCAAAUCAGCACGGCCCUUACGUCCGGGGCUACACACGUGUUACAAUGGGGGGUACAGAAGGCGGCUACCUGGUGACAGGAUGCUAAUCCCAAAAACCUCUCUCAGUUCGGAUCGAAGUCUGCAACCCGACUUCGUGAAGCUGGAUUCGCUAGUAAUCGCGCAUCAGCCAUGGCGCGGUGAAUACGUUCCCGGGCCUUGUACACACCGCCCGUCAAGCCAUGAAAGCCGGGGGUACCUGAAGUACGUAACCGCAAGGAGCGUCCUAGGGUAAAACUGGUAAUUGGGGCUAAGUC